GACGAACGCUGGCGGCGUGCUUAACACAUGCAAGUCGAACGGAAAGGCCCUGCUUUUGUGGGGUGCUCGAGUGGCGAACGGGUGAGUAACACGUGAGUAACCUGCCCUUGACUUUGGGAUAACUUCAGGAAACUGGGGCUAAUACCGGAUAGGAGCUCCUGCUGCAUGGUGGGGGUUGGAAAGUUUCGGCGGUUGGGGAUGGACUCGCGGCUUAUCAGCUUGUUGGUGGGGUAGUGGCUUACCAAGGCUUUGACGGGUAGCCGGCCUGAGAGGGUGACCGGCCACAUUGGGACUGAGAUACGGCCCAGACUCCUACGGGAGGCAGCAGUGGGGAAUAUUGCACAAUGGGCGGAAGCCUGAUGCAGCAACGCCGCGUGCGGGAUGACGGCCUUCGGGUUGUAAACCGCUUUCGCCUGUGACGAAGCGUGAGUGACGGUAAUGGGUAAAGAAGCACCGGCUAACUACGUGCCAGCAGCCGCGGUGAUACGUAGGGUGCGAGCGUUGUCCGGAUUUAUUGGGCGUAAAGGGCUCGUAGGUGGUUGAUCGCGUCGGAAGUGUAAUCUUGGGGCUUAACCCUGAGCGUGCUUUCGAUACGGGUUGACUUGAGGAAGGUAGGGGAGAAUGGAAUUCCUGGUGGAGCGGUGGAAUGCGCAGAUAUCAGGAGGAACACCAGUGGCGAAGGCGGUUCUCUGGGCCUUUCCUGACGCUGAGGAGCGAAAGCGUGGGGAGCGAACAGGCUUAGAUACCCUGGUAGUCCACGCUGUAAACGGUGGGUACUAGGUGUGGGGUCCAUUCCACGGGUUCCGUGCCGUAGCUAACGCUUUAAGUACCCCGCCUGGGGAGUACGGCCGCAAGGCUAAAACUCAAAGGAAUUGACGGGGCCCCGCACAUGCGGCGGAGCAUGCGGAUUAAUUCGAUGCAACGCGUAGAACCUUACCUGGGUUUGACAUGGAUCGGGAGUGCUCAGAGAUGGGUGUGCCUCUUUUGGGGUCGGUUCACAGGUGGUGCAUGGCUGUCGUCAGCUCGUGUCGUGAGAUGUUGGGUUAAGUCCCGCAACGAGCGCAACCCUUGUUCACUGUUGCCAGCACGUUAUGGUGGGGACUCAGUGGAGACCGCCGGGGUCAACUCGGAGGAAGGUGGGGAUGACGACAAGUCAUCAUGCCCCUUAUGUCCAGGGCUUCACGCAUGCUACAAUGGCUGGUACAGAGAGUGGCGAGCCUGUGAGGGUGAGCGAAUCUCGGAAAGCCGGUCUCAGUUCGGAUUGGGGUCUGCAACUCGACCUCAUGAAGUCGGAGUCGCUAGUAAUCGCAGAUCAGCAACGCUGCGGUGAAUACGUUCCCGGGGCU
rnacentral:rRNA from 1 species